GAAUUUCAGCUUUGGGUGCUGACGGUGGGG
rnacentral:piRNA from 1 species